AGUCGAAACUACUAUUUGGUCAGGUUUUUUCAAUUCAUUUUUAAAGCUAACAAAGACCCACAAGGCAACCAGUCUAGAAAUGGCGACCAGAAAUCUAAGCCAAAUUCACAAGUUGGUAAUGGUGGAAAUUUGGGAAGAUGAAAUUCUAAAGAAAAAUAAUAAAUGUCCUUUAUAUAAGGAGGAAAAUGAAGUUGAGGAAUUUUGUUAAUAUUUUUUUAUUUAAAGU
rnacentral:lncRNA from 1 species